UACAGAGGUCUCAAGCGUUGUUCGGAUUCAUUGGGCGUAAAGGGUGCGUAGGCGGCGGGGCAAGUCGGAUGUGAAAUCUCAGGGCUCAACCCUGAAACUGCAUUCGAUACUGCUCUGCUCGAGGACUGGAGAGGAGAUUGGAAUUCACGGUGUAGCAGUGAAAUGCGUAGAUAUUGGGAGGAACACCAGUGGCGAAGGCGGCUCACUGGACCGGUUCUGACGCUGAGGCGCGAAAGCGUGGGGAGCAAACGGG
rnacentral:rRNA from 1 species